GACAAAGUGGCCGAGUGGUGAAGGCGAUUUCUAAAAUUUGAAAUUUCUUAAAAAGAGCGUAGGUUCGAUUCCUGCCUUUGUCC